CACGUAGGGCGCAAGCGUUGUCCGGAAUUAUUGGGCGUAAAGAGCUCGUAGGCGGUCUGUUGCGUCCGCUGUGAAAACUCGGGGCUUAACCCCGAGCCUGCAGUGGAUACGGGCAGACUAGAGGUAGGUAGGGGAGAAUGGAAUUCCCGGUGUAGCGGUGAAAUGCGUAGAUAUCUGGAGGAACACCGGUGGCGAAGGCGGCAUCCUGGACCGGCAUUGACGCUGAGGCGCGAAAGCCAGGGGAGCAAACGGG
rnacentral:rRNA from 1 species